GAAAUGCGAUAAUUAAUGUGAAUUGCAGAAUUCAGUGAAUCAUCGAGUCUUUGAACGCACAUUGCGCCCCCUGGUAUUCCGGGGGGCAUGCCUGUCCGAGCGUCAUUGCUGCCCUCAAGCACGGCUUGUGUGUUGGGCUUCCGUCCCUGGCAACGGGGACGGGCCCAAAAGGCAGUGGCGGCACCAUGUCUGGUCCUCGAGCGUAUGGGGCUUUGUCACCCGCUCCCGUAGGUCCAGCUGGCAGCUAGCCUCGCAACCAAUCUUUUUUAACCAGGUUGACCUCGGAUCAGGUAGGGAUACCCGCUGAACUUAAGC
rnacentral:misc_RNA from 1 species